rnacentral:rRNA from 1 species
UACGAAGGGGCUAGCGUUGCUCGGAAUCACUGGGCGUAAAGCGCACGUAGGCGGAUUGUUAAGUCAGGGGUGAAUCCUGGAGCUCAACUCCAGAACUGCCUUGAUACUGGCGAUCUCGAGUCCGGGAGAGGUGAGUGGAACUGGCGAGUGUAGAGGUGAAAUUCGUAGAUAUUCGCAAGAACACCAGUGGCGAAGGCGGCUCACUGGCCCGGUACGUGACGCUGAGGUGCGAAAGCGUGGGAGCAAGCAGGGAUUAAGAAACCCUGGGUACGU